ACCUGGCUGGCUCAGUAGGUGGAGCAUGUGACUCUCGAUUUCAAGGUUGUGGGUUCGAGCCCCAAGUUGGGUG
rnacentral:tRNA from 1 species